UACGUAGGGUGCGAGCGUUGUCCGGAAUUAUUGGGCGUAAAGAGCUCGUAGGCGGUGUGUCACGUCGGCCGUGAAAACCUGCAGCUUAACUGUGGGCGUGCGGUCGAUACGGGCAUCACUGGAGUUCGGCAGGGGAGACUGGAAUUCCUGGUGUAGCGGUGAAAUGCGCAGAUAUCGUAAGGAAGACCAGUGGCGAAGGCGAAUCUCUGGACAGUUACUGACACUGAGGCACGAAGGCCAGGGGAGCAAACGGG
rnacentral:rRNA from 1 species